ACGAAGUCGCAAGACUUAGUGGCGGAAGGGUUAGUAAUACAUGGGUAACCUGCCUCCUACUUGGGAAUAACGGUUGGAAACGACCGCUAAUACCGAAUGUGGUGGGAUAAGGAGUCUUAUCUUUAUUAAAGUAGGGGACCAGCAAUGGCCUUACGGUAAGAGAGGGGCCCAUGGGAUAUCAGCUAGUUGGUGUGGUAAUGGCGCACCAAGG
rnacentral:rRNA from 1 species